GGGGCACAAAAGUAAAUUUCUGCUUAGGACACCCAUUUGGCCAGCAGCGGCCCUGGUUAAAACAUACGACCAGAAUAUAGAAUGAUACAUUUUAGCAUAAUCAGGGCAAUUCAUUAAAUAGAACAAAUUGAUAUUUCAAUGAAACUUUUCAUAGUGAUUGAUGUAUAAUCCUGGCUACAUAUAAUGCAGGGGGAGCCACCCUUCAUCCAUGCAACCUUAUAAAGGAAGAUCUUCUACAUGUACCUUUAAAGCAGAUGGCAUGGACCAAGUAAAGGGACUUUGGCACAACCUGUGGUGUGUGUAGUGAGCACAGCGGGGGAUAUAUGAUCCAGAGAAUUCUGUCUUUUGUCUGCUGUCUGCUUUUCUGCAGGUUUGUUUUGAAGACUGGAAAAGAGAACAGAAAAUAUGUUUUAUCCCCAGUGUGUUUCAAAAAGUCACUCGCUGUUCUUAUUUCUCCUAUUAGAAUUAAAAAUAUUUUCUCACAUCUUUCAAUAAACAUUCAGGAAUAGCCACUAUUCCAUUACAGCCAGUACUAGCAAUACAGAAAUUCAAUUUAACACAAAGCUGUGUUUGCUUCGAGUGGCAGAGUAUAGUUAUUUUGCCUGUAAACAUUUGUGGCCCAACUAAUUAAAGCACCAUCUUAGUUCUUAAGUAAAACAGAAAAAAAAUCCUGAAAAGUGCAAAAGGGGGCAGUAAGCUAUUGUGAUCUGCUACUGUCAUUUUCUGAUGUAUCUAGCAACAGGCAAAUACAAAUACUGUGAUACAAAUAAGAAACCAACAAGGGAACGGGAGACCAAGACAGACGACCCAUGCCUCAUUAUAUUAUCCACACCCUGAAUCCCGGAAUUGAAUCCCCACAGUCCCCUCCAAAGGAACCCACCAUUUCACACAUUUUGAAUGUUGCAAAACCAGACUCUCACCUUGUUUCCCUAUGCAGCUCUUAAGCACAGAGACAAGAACCAAACUUUCAUUUUAGUAGACAAAUAAAAAUGUUUUUGUGUUAAAA